UACGGCCACCUCACGUUGAAACAUCGGUUCCUGUAUGAUCACCGAAGUUAAGCAACGUUGAGCCUGGUCACUACCUAUAUGAGUGACCGCGUGGGAAUGC